rnacentral:rRNA from 1 species
AACGAACGCUGGCGGCAUGCCUAACACAUGCAAGUCGAACGAGACCUUCGGGUCUAGUGGCGCACGGGUGCGUAACGCGUGGGAACCUGCCUUUAGGUUCGGAAUAACUCAGAGACAUUUGAGCUAAUACCGGAUGAUGUCUUCGGACCAAAGAUUUAUCGCCUUUAGAUGGGCCCGCGUUGGAUUAGCUAGUUGGUGGGGUAAAGGCCUACCACGGCGACGAUCCAUAGCUGGUCUGAGAGGAUGAUCAGCCACACUGGGACUGAGACACGGCCCAGACUCCUACGGGAGGCAGGAGUGGGGAAUAGUGGAAAAUGGGCGAAAGGCUGAUCCAGCAAUGCCGCGUGAGUGAUGAAGGCCUUAGGGUUGUAAAGCUCUUUUACCCGAGAUGAUAAUGACAGUAUCGGGAGAAUAAGCUCCGGCUAACUCCGUG